GCCACAUCCCAGUGACUCAUUUGGGCUCCUUUGGACAAGUAACUAGAGCUCCCAUUUGAAAGAAUGACAAGCAAGCUACCUCAAAUUUCUCUUUCUCAACCCAUGACUUCACCUUUUCUGUUCCUUAAUGCUCUCAUCAUCCAGCCCUCCUUUCUGCUGUUUUUCCUCAGUUUUCAAGCCUGCACCCUAGUCUUCUGUGCCAUCCCACUUUUUCGGGGUUCUGCCCUAUCUGUUACCCCUCUCCGAAUAAUGUCAGCCCCGCCCACUACCCUACUGUAAGGAUCUGCCCAGCUCUUCCUCUGUGGGUUUUAAACCGUGCAUCUGCUGCCACCAUGUUCAUCAGGGUCCCAAUUUCCAUUACACCCCUGCCUUUCCCCCUGCUCCUCCUCCUAGCCCUUGUUUCUAAUCCCCUGUACUCUAGCUCCCACUCCCAAUUGAGCCACCCCCAACCAACCGUGACAAUUCACAGCUCUCAUCCUGGAGAGAUGGUUCCCCUCAUGCUGGGACAGUUCUGGGGCAGUUCAGAAUUGCCAGGACUGUGGAUUCCCAGCAGCUUGGCCUGGUGGACACACGGAAUGCAAGACAACAGCAAACCCACCUUCAGCCUUGUUUGCUCCUUUCCUCUCAUGCCUGGUCAGCCAGCCUGCAUGAAGUUCUCUACGUUUGAGACUGGCUUCUCCAUGGAACUUGGUCUGUAGCCACAGAACAAACUGCAGGGCCAGUGACAGAGAAUGAAGAGGAGAGUGAAGAGUGGAACACAUCUAAUGUGUUCUCUGGAGGGAUUCCGGGACCAUCCCAAGGACGUUCUGCCCUUGAGAAAUGUCUCCUGCAAAAAGGGGAGGGUCCCUCCAUUGUGCUCUCAUCAAAGCUCUGAGGGUGAGCCUCUUGCUCAGUCAGCACUUCUACUUCAGAAUGGGAAAGGUAGCAGUCUAGAAGGCAAGAAUGUGUCCAGAUCCUGAGCAGAUGAUAGCAUCAGAUGAACACGUGACAUUAAGAAGUGCUCUCCUCAAACUGAGGUCUAGAUUCAAUAUAAUCUCAAUAA